ensembl:snRNA
AUGUUGUUGAAAGGAGAAAUUAAUAGUUCCCUUGAAAAGGAUGGAAAGGGGCCUCAGGCCUAAAGACACACAUAGGGUUAAGACAGCAGUUAAAGCAUCUCUACCCACUUGGUUGCAACUGCCACCAUUUUAA